rnacentral:rRNA from 1 species
GGGGAAUAUUGGACAAUGGGCGAAAGCCUGAUCCAGCCAUGCCGCGUGUGUGAAGAAGGUCUUCGGAUUGUAAAGCACUUUAAGUUGGGAGGAAGGGCUGCAAGUUAAUACCUUGUAGUUUUGACGUUACCAACAGAAUAAGCACCGGCUAACUUCGUGCCAGCAGCCGCGGUAAUACGGAGGAUGCGAGCGUUAUCCGGAUUUAUUGGGUUUAAAGGGUGCGCAGGCGGGCUUUUAAGUCAGCGGUGAAAUCUGGACGCUUAACGUCCAAACUGUGGUUGAAGCUGGGAGUCUUGAGUAUGGAUGAAGUAGGCGGAAUUCGUUGUGUAGCGGUGACAUGCAUAGAUAUAACGAGGAACUCCGAUUGCGUAGGCAGCUUACUAAGCCAUAACUGACGCUCAUGCACGAAAGCGUGGGGAUCAAACA